rnacentral:tRNA from 1 species
CAAGGCACUGAAAAUGCCUAGAUGAGUCGCCAGACUCCAUAAACA